CUGUUUGAUCCUGGCUCAGGACGAACGCUGGCGGCGUGCUUCAUACAUGCAAGUCGAACGAGAAUCUCUAGCUUGCUAGAGAGGACAGUGGCGGACGGGUGAGUAAUGUGUAGAGAAUCUGCCCUUGAGCGGGGGACAACAGCUGGAAACGGUUGCUAAUACCCCAUAUGAGAUAAGUUGAAAUACUUAUCUUGAAAACUCCGGUGCUCAAGGAUGAGUCUGCAUCUGAUUAGCUAGUUGGGGGUGUAAUGGACCACCAAGGCGACGAUCAGUAGCUGGUUUGAGAGGAUGAUCAGCCACAAUGGGACUGAGACACGGCCCAUACUCCUACGGGAGGCAGCAGUAGGGAAUUUUGCGCAAUGGGGGAAACCCUGACGCAGCAACGCCGCGUGAACGAUUAAGCCCUUCGGGGUGUAAAGUUCUGUCAGCAGGGACGAACUAUGACGGUACCUGCAGAGGAAGCACCGGCUAACUCCGUGCCAGCAGCCGCGGUAAUACGGAGGGUGCAAGCGUUGUCCGGAAUCAUUGGGCGUAAAGAGUUCGUAGGUGGCCUGUAAAGUCUGGUGUUAAAUGCAGAAGCUCAACUUCUGUUCGGCACUGGAUACUUGCAAGCUGGAAUGCGGUAGAGGUAAAGGGAAUUCCUGGUGUAGCGGUGAAAUGCGUAGAUAUCAGGAGGAACAUCGGUGGCGUAAGCGCUUUACUGGGCCGUAAUUGACACUGAGGAACGAAAGCCGGGGUAGCAAAUGGGAUUAGAUACCCCAGUAGUCCCGGCCGUAAACGAUGGAUACUAGGUGUUGCGGGUAUCGACCCCUGCAGUGCCGCAGCUAACGCGAUAAGUAUCCCGCCUGGGGAGUACGCACGCAAGUGUGAAACUCAAAGGAAUUGACGGGGACCCG
rnacentral:rRNA from 1 species